AGAGCUCAUAGGCGGCUUGUUGCGUCUGCUGUGAAAUCCCGGGGCUCAACCCCGGGCGUGCAGUGGAUACGGGCAGGCUAGAGGCAGGCAGGGGAGAACGGAAUUCCCGGUGUAGCGGUGAAAUGCGCAGAUAUCGGGAGGAACACCGGUGGCGAAGGCGGUUCUCUGGGCCUGUUCUGACGCUGAGGAGCGAAAGCGUGGGGAGCGAACAGGAUUAGAUACCCUGGUAGUCCACGCCGUAAACGUUGGGCGCUAGGUGUGGGUCCCUUCCACGGGGUCCGUGCCGCAGCUAACGCAUUAAGCGCCCCGCCUGGGGAGUACGGCCGCAAGGCUAAAACUCAAGGGAAUUGACGG
rnacentral:rRNA from 1 species